ensembl:lncRNA
GGAACAGUCUGUGAGUUAAAGUCUCACAGUAAGUCGGGUUAGAGGCCCGUUAACGGUGUGUGAGUUAGAGUCUCACUGUAAGUCGGGUUAGAGGCCAGUUAAUCGUUCUGGGGUUGACUACCCUACGCCACUUCCCGACGGGGACGGUGGAGGUUCCGAGUUAGAGUCUUGGCAACCAGUCGGGUUAGAGGCCCAAGGACUUAGAGGCACCUCAAAAUAUUUAUUGUGUGUAAAGGUUCACGUUCAGCUGGGUUAGAGGCCCGGGAGUUUGGAACUCCCCGAAUUUUUUAUGAGAGAACUGGGUUCAAGUCCCAAAAGUGUUGGGUCAGGGACCCGUUAAUCAUUUGUUAAUCAUUCUGAGUCUGGGACUCACAGUAACAUAAGUCAGGGAGAAACGGACGGGGAGUUUGAGAAAGAAGUAGAUGACGAUGGGUGGGGUCCAGGCACGGGAAAGUGGAAACAAUUGGGGAUACAGGUGGCGAAUGUAAUGACAAUUGUAGGCAGGAUGGACCCAAUUCAGAAAGAAAAAGAAGAGAUAGAAGAGAAAUUGCGACAAGUGGUGAGUGAGGCAGGAUUAAGGAUGGAAGAAAGGAGGCCAUUACAUGUUAUUUUGUUGAAUAAGGAGAAGGAUUGUUCCAAAAAUCGAGAUAGAGUUAGAGACAAGAAGGAAACAGCAAAUUUGGUCAAGAGAGGGAGAUAUAGAGAAAAGGAGAAGGAAUGGGAAAAGCACAGAAAAGAAUGGUGUAAAUUAGCAGUGUGGUGUCAGGGCGUAGACCAUUUGAACAAAGAGAAAAAGGAACAGAAAAUUAAGGAGGAGAAAAAGGGAGGAAAGAUAGAACCCCCAGCAUAUGAAGAUGACCUGGUGCCUGGUACACCGCGUGCACCAUUAUAUCCAGUGUUACGUUUAGAGAGUGGGAUAUUGUCUUUAGACACACAGAACAGCAAGCCCAUAACUCAAUUCACAGGAAAGCAAGAUAAGAGAAAGUUGAGUAGGAAGGCGGAGUCAGAGAGCGAGCCAGACACUGAGGGGGAGGUGAAACCGUUCAAGGCAAGGGCAGAGAGAGAGUACGGGAGGUACGAGGAGAGGAGCGAGAAGGGGAGACAACUAGGAGAGAAUAAACAGGAUGAGAUUACAGGGGCCAGAAAGAAAAGGUCAGGCCGUACUAAAGGCAGGUUAGGUGAGGACUCAAAGUCGGGGUCGGACGAUAGUGACACAGUGAGAAGGACAAAAAUUAGGCAGAAAAAAGGAAAUUCAUAUAGAGGACGGGUGUUACUCACGGGGAAAGCAGUAGGGAGAUGGAAUGACUCAGACGAAAACCCCGACGCACACAGUAGUGGAGAUGGGAGUAAGGGAGACGCAGAUGUAUACCCUCUGUAUCUAGAAGUAUGUAAAAAAACAUGGGCCAAACACACAGGGCACCACCCGGGGAAGGGAGGUCUGCAGCAGGAGUGGUUUAGAAGGGCGGUCUUAGAGGGACUUCCAGAGAAAAUAAAAGAGGCAAUGAUGGCAAAUCCUGACUUGCCGGGUCUUCAUCUGACUUGCCAGCUGGGUGAAGCCAAAGUGAG